AACAAGGAUUCCCCUAGUAACGGCGAGUGAACCGGGAAGAGCUCAAAUUUGAAAUCUGGCGUGCUCAGUGCGUCCGAGUUGUAAUCUAUAGAGGCGUUUUCCGUGCCGGACUGUGUCCAAGUCCCUUGGAACAGGGUAUCAAAGAGGGUGAUAAUCCCGUACUUGACACAAUGACCGGUGCUCUGUGAUACGUCUUCUACGAGUCGAGUUGUUUGGGAAUGCAGCUCAAAAUGGGUGGUGAGUUCCAUCUAAAGCUAAAUAUUGGCGAGAGACCGAUAGCGAACAAGUACCGUGAGGGAAAGAUGAAAAGCACUUUGGAAAGAGAGUUAAACAGUACGUGAAAUUGUUAAAAGGGAAACGAUUGAAGUCAGUCGUGACUGAGAGGCUCAGCCGGUUCUGCCGGUGUAUUCCCCUCAGUCGGGUCAACAUCAGUUUUGUUCGGUGGAUAAGGGCAGCUGGAAGGUAGCACCCUCGGGUGUGUUAUAGCCAGUUGUCGCAUACAUCGGAUGAGACUGAGGAAUGCAGCUCGCCUUUAUGGCCGGGGUUCGCCCACGUCCGAGCUUAGGAUGUUGACAUAAUGGCUUUAAACGACCCGUCUUGAAACGGG
rnacentral:rRNA from 1 species